GGCUCCGUCACCCUAUCCUACCCAAACUCCACGUUUCUCACCUUAUCUGCUGACAGAUGAUCAGACGCGAGUAAUCCUCUCCCUGCUCCAGGAAGAGGGACACAGCGACUACAUUAAUGGCAACUUCAUCCGGGGCGUGGAUGGAAGCCUGGCCUACAUUGCCACGCAAGGACCCUUGCCUCACACCCUGCUAGACUUCUGGAGACUGGUCUGGGAGUUUGGGGUCAAGGUCAGCACUUGGGGGUGCGGCACAAUGGUGGGGUCAACAUCUAAGUACCCCCUCGGCAGUUUCCCUGGCCCCCUCACCCAAAUCACCUUCCUCUCCCCUGACCCUCCUUGUCUAGGUGAUCCUGAUGGCCUGUCGAGAGAUAGAGAAUGGGCGGGUAGGUGCCCUCUGC
rnacentral:lncRNA from 1 species